AGCAGCCGCGGUAAUUCCAGCUCCAAUAGCGUAUAUUAAAGUUGUUGCAGNUAAAAAGCUCGUAGUUGAAUUUCGGGAUCAAUGUUUCGGUCAUGCCCUUGGUAUGUACUGAUAUUAUUGGUUUCUCACCUUCUAAAGAACCGUAAUGCCAUUAAUUUGGUGUCACGGGGAAUUAGGGCUGUUACCUUGAAAAAAUUAGAGUGUUUAAAGCAGGCUCACGCUUGAAUACAUUAGCAUGGAAUAAUGAAAUAGGACAUCCGAUUCUAUUUUGUUGGUUUCUAGGAUCGAUGUAAUGAUUAAUAGGGAUAGUUGGGGGCAUUAGUAUUCAAUUGUCAGAGGUGAAAUUCUUGGAUUUAUUGAAGACUAACUACUGCGAAAGCAUUUGCCAAGGAUGUUUUCAUUAAUCAAGAACGAAAGUUAGGGGAUCGAAGACGAUCAGAUACCGUCGUAGUCUUAACCAUAAACUAUGCCGACUAGGGAUCGGAUGAUGUUAAUUUUUUAAUGACUCA
rnacentral:rRNA from 1 species